rnacentral:misc_RNA from 1 species
UACGGAGGGUGCAAGCGUUAAUCGGAAUUACUGGGCGUAAAGCGCACGCAGGCGGUCUGUCAAGUCGGACGUGAAAUCCCCGGGCUCAACCGGGGAACUGCAUUCGAAACUGGCAGGCUAGAGGCUUGUAGAGGGGGGUAGAACUCCAGGUGUAGCGGUGAAAUGCGUAGAGAUCUGGAGGAAUACCGGUGGCGAAGGCGGCCCACUGGCCAAAGCCUGACGCUGAGGUGCGAAAGCGUGGGGAGCAAACAGG